rnacentral:rRNA from 1 species
GGCUGCUACCAUGCAGUCGAGCGAGAAAGGGGGCUUCGGUCCCUGAGUAGAGCGGCGCAGGGUGAGUAACGCGUGGAUAAUCUACCCAUAAGCCUGGGAUAACAGCGAGAAAUUGUUGCUAAUACCGGAUAAGCUCACAUGUUGUGGGGACAUGUGGGAAAAGGCGGCCUCUGGAACAAGCUGCCGUUUAUGGAUGAGUCCGCGUCCCAUUAGCUAGUUGGUGGGGUAAAGGCUUACCAAGGCGACGAUGGGUAGCCGGCCUGAGAGGGUGGCCGGCCACACUGGAACUGGAACACGGUCCAGACUCCUACGGGAGGCAGCAGUGGGGAAUAUUGCGCAAUGGGCGAAAGCCUGACGCAGCAACGCCGCGUGAGGGAAGAAGGUCUUCGGAUCGUAAACCUCUGUCGGGAGGGAAGAACGGCCUGAAGUCGAACAGGCUUUGGGAUUGACGGUACCUCCAAAGGAAGCACCGGCUAACUCCGUGCCAGCAGCCGCGGUAAUACGGAGGGUGCAAGCGUUAUUCGGAAUUACUGGGCGUAAAGGGCGUGUAGGCGGCCCUGCAAGUCAGAUGUGAAAGCCCACGGCUUAACCGUGGAACUGCAUUUGAAACUGCCGGGCUUGGAGUGUGGGAGAGGGUAGCGGAAUUCCCGGUGUAGGAGUGAAAUCCGUAGAUAUCGGGAGGAACACCAGUGGCGAAGGCGGCUACCUGGACCAUAACUGACGCUGAGACGCGAAAGCGUGGGGAGCAAACAGGAUUAGAUACCCUGGUAGUCCACGCUGUAAACGAUGGAUGCUAGGUGUUGGGGGGCAACCCUCAGUGCCGCAGUUAACGCGUUAAGCAUCCCGCCUGGGGGAGUACGGUCGCAAGGCUGAACUCAAGGAAUGACGGGGCCCGCACAAGCGGUGGAGUAUGGUGGUUUAAUCGAUGCAACGCGAGACUACUGGGUUGACAUCUCGAUCUCAGAGAUGAGGGAGUGCCUCGGGAGCGGAGAGACAGGUGCUGCAUGCUGUCGUCAGCUCAUGCGUGAGGGUGU